AGGCACAGCACCUUGGCUUCUUUAGCUCUGGUGAAGCAAGUUUGGCAUGUCUGCUGAAAAUUUCUGAGCCAAUAAAUCUAAUAGUAUCCAGAUACAGUGAGGGGAUUCAAGGAGACUCCUCAUACAUUAAGGUCUCCUGAUUGCAAUAUCACUAAUGACUCAUUGAAGCACCUGUAAUGAACUCACCCCACCUAUUUUUUCAAGGCAAUAGGAAUUACUUGAAGUCUCUGCUUGUCCAAGCCUCUUGUUUACAAGUACUAGAAUACCACCCAAGCCAGCUUUAAUAAAAAACAAACAAGAAGGAAACACUUUAAGAAUUUGUUUAUGGAGACCAUUGUAUGGAAUGCAAGUUGAUGGAUGCAGCUAGAAAAUGAGACUUAGGCACCCAAGAGGCCUCUGGAUCUUCUUUCUGCAGGUGAUAUGUUUCUGUUUUUAAGCUUAUGCGAUAUAAUGGAAGAUAGUCUCUCUACAUGAGUAAAUUUAAAUAUUUUAUUCUCAAAAUUAGUUCAGAUAGAGCUAGAAUUGUAGUACAAAUUCAAAGUAGAUAGCAUUUUCUUGGCCUAAGUUGAGUACAUUACCUGCUUUCUACUCUAAUCUUCUCCCACCCAAGUUGAUUUAACCAAAGGGACAUAUGGCAUAAACGUAGUUGCUAAAUAUUUGCACCUAUAGAUACAAAAUCUGUGAUCUAGGAAGCAUCAUAAAAAACUUCU